rnacentral:rRNA from 1 species
GCGGCGUGCUUAAGGUAUGCAAGUCAAACCCAGCUUUUAGCAGGGUGGCGAACGGCUGAGUAAUACGUAGGAACCUACCUCUAAGUAAGGUAUAACCCUCCGAAAGGUGGGAUAAUCCCUUAUGUGGUGGCAACACUAAAGAUUUAUCGCUUAGAAAUGGGCCUGCGGCCCAUCAGGUAGUUGGUUGGGUAACGGCCUACCAAGCCUAUGACGGGUAGCUGGUAUCAGAGUAUGACCAGCCAGAGGGGCACUGAGAUACGGGCCUCACCCCUACGGGGGGCAGCAAUCGGGAAUUUGCGCAAUGGACGAAAGUCUGACGCAGCGACGCCGCGUGAAGGAUGACGGCCUUCGGGUUGUAAACUUCGUUGUAAGCACCGGCUAACUACGUGCCAGCAGCAGCGGUCAUACGUAGGGUGCAAGCAUUAUCCGGUUUUAUUGGGCGUAAAGAGUUCUGUAGGCGGUUGAAUAAGUUGGAAGUUAAAUAUCCUGGCUCAACUAGGACAAGGCUUUCAAUACUAUUUGGCUAUGAGGUGACUAGGGGGUAGCGGAACGCAUGGUGUAGCAGUGAAAUGCGUUGAUAUCAUGCGGAACACCAAGGGGGAAGCCAGCUACCUGGGGUUAUCCUGACGCUGAGAGACGAAAGCGUGGGGAGCGAAACGGAUUAGAUACCCGUGUAGUCCACGCUGUAAACUAUGCCUGCUAGAUGCUCCGCUUUUGUGGAGUGUCGAAGCUAACGCGUUAAGCAGGCCGCCUGGGAAGUACGAUCGCAAGAUUAAAACUCAAAGGAAUUGGCGGGGACCCGCACAAGCGGUGGAGCAUGCUCUUUAAUUGGCUGAUAACCCAAAAACCUCACCAGGGCUUGACAUGCAUAAAGUAGUGAACCGAAAGGGGAACGACCGGUAUCCAGUCCGGAGUUUGCACAGGUGUUGCGUGGCUGUCGUCAGUUCGUACCGUGAGGCGUACCCUUAAGUGGGUUAACGAACGCAACCCCUACUAUCAGUUGUAUCACUCUGAUGGAACUGCCUCGGCAACGAGGAGGAAGGUGGGGACGACGUCAAGUCGGUAUUGCUCUUACGCUCUGGGCUAGAAGCAUGCUACAAUGGGGUCGACAACGCGAAGCAAAGAGGCAACUCGGAGCAAAUCGCUAAACGAUCUCUCAGUUCGGAUUGGAGUCUGCAACUCGACUCCAUGAAGUUGGAAUCGCUAGUAAUCGGCGGU